GUAAGGAAUAUUGGUCAAUGGACGAAAGUCUGAACCAGCCAUGCCGCGUGGAGGAUGAAGGUCCUCUGGAUUGUAAACUUCUUUUAUAUGGGACGAAAAUGGGGCUUUCUAGCUCAACUGACGGUACCAUAUGAAUAAGCACCGGCUAACUCCGUGCCAGCAGCCGCGGUAAUACGGAGGGUGCAAGCGUUAUCCGGAUUCACUGGGUUUAAAGGGUGCGUAGGUGGAUUGGUAAGUCAGAGGUGAAAUCUCCGGGCUCAACUCGGAAACUGCCGUUGAUACUAUCAAUCUUGAAUAUUGUGGAGGUGAGCGGAAUAUGUCAUGUAGCGGUGAAAAGCUUAGAUAUGACAUAGAACACCAGUUGCGAAGGCAGCUGGCUACACAUAUAUUGACACUGAGGCACGAAAGCGUGGGGAGCAAACAGGAUUAGAUACCCGGGUAGUCC
rnacentral:rRNA from 1 species